rnacentral:rRNA from 1 species
UGGACCCGUGAUCCGGGUUGCGGACAGUGUCUGGUGGGUAGUUUGACUGGGGCGGUCUCCUCCUAAAGAGUAACGGAGGAGCACGAAGGUUGGCUAAUCCUGGUCGGACAUCAGGAGGUUAGUGCAAUGGCAUAAGCCAGCUUGACUGCGAGCGUGACGGCGCGAGCAGGUGCGAAAGCAGGUCAUAGUGAUCCGGUGGUUCUGAAUGGAAGGGCCAUCGCUCAACGGAUAAAAGGUACUCCGGGGAUAACAGGCUGAUACCGCCCAAGAGUUCAUAUCGACGGCGGUGUUUGGCACCUCGAUGUCGGCUCAUCACAUCCUGGGGCUGAAGUAGGUCCCAAGGGUAUGGCUGUUCGCCAUUUAAAGUGGUACGCGAGCUGGGUUUAGAACGUCGUGAGACAGUUCGGUCCCUAUCUGCCGUGGGCGCUGGAGAACUGAGGGGGGCUGCUCCUAGUACGAGAGGACCGGAGUGGACGCAUCACUGGUGUUCGGGUUGUCAUGCCAA